rnacentral:rRNA from 1 species
UAGGGAAUCUUCCACAAUGGACGCAAGUCCGAUGGAGCAACGCCGCGUGGGUGAAGAAGGGUUUCGGCUCGUAAAGCUCUGUUGUUAAAGAAGAACGUGGGUAAGAGUAACUGUUUACCCAGUGACGGUAUUUAACCAGAAAGCCACGGCUAACUACGUGCCAG